UCCCUCCUCCAGCCACGUAGGCAUCAGCCACCAUCCUGGAAACUGCACAGUGCCCGGAUUCCGACCUCAGCUGCUCUACUUCCUUCUCCAAACUAGCCCCCCUCCUUCAGCCUUUCUCUGCACCAAGAGAAAGCUUCUUCUCAAACUCCCACUCCUGAACGAACACACACACUUUCUCUGUCUCUGUCUGUCUGUCUCUGUCUCUGUCCCUGUCUCUCUCUGUCUGUCUCUGUCCCUGUCUCUCUCUGUCUCUGUCUCUCUGUCUCUGUCUCUGUCUUUGUGAGUGUGCGUGUGGGUUCGUGCGUGUGAGUGCGUGUAUGUAUGUAUGUAUGUAUGUAUGUAUGUAUGUAUGUAUGUAUGUAUGUAUGUGUGGCUGGUUUGGGGCUCCUCAUCUGCUUUUCGUAUCUAAGAGGCUGCAUUCAUUCACCUAGACCCGCUUAAAAGAAAACAAAUAAAACACUGCGGAGCCCUUCCUUCAUAUUCGGUCUACUCCCACUCCUCUUCAUUCCACUUUGACUCCUCUCCUCCUUGCCCCGCUCUCUCCUGAUCCUCCCUCUGCGGCCAUCGCAAGUCCUGGCCACCGUUUCGAUGGUACCCACUCAGGAGUCCGUUAUACGCCCUCCACGAGUCCAACCCCGAGUCCAGGCGGCGAGCAUCCCGCCCUCUCCUGGUCAGCUCCAAGAUUCUGGACGCCCCUCACACGUUCAUCUCCCCACGUUUCUGCCAACCCACCGUAUGAAGAAGGAUCUUCGAAACACUCCGUGGAAGAGGGUGACUCCGGGUGUGGGACACCAAUUCUGGCACCAAAACUUUUCUACCCAGAAAGUGAGCACCCGGACGCAUUUAGGGGAGAUGAGGAUUGAGCGCCUUUACUAAUUUGAACAAGGAUCCUUCCCACUUCAAACUAACACACUCAAGUGCCCCAUGCUCCACCUCAGGAUCAGUCUCUCCUAAGCCCAUUUCUCCUGCCUGCAUGUUGGGCUGUCUCUUUCUGUAUCUCUUCCUCCUGCCCUUUCUCCAUUUUGUCCUCUGUGAGCCAUUCUCCCUCGCCCAAGCCACUGACCCAUUUGCCACCGCAGUCGCUGAACACCAAGGUUUCCACGGCAACACUUCAGCCUUUUAAUACAUUUUGCUAAGGGUGAAGACGGGUGAGUUGGGUAUCUGGUCACUUGGAUGGGAGAGAGCUGGGGCUCUAGAGCCCAGAUGUAGCCCCCCAUCUCCCUGGAGGCAGCUGCCAUAGACUCAGGGCCAGAAUGAGGCAAACUCACUCACCCAUGGCCUUACAGGGUCAACUGGGGGAAGAUGGGGUUGCCUGGCCCCCAGGGUCUUCCCCAAGCCCUUGAACUCCCUUCACUCCCUGUAAGGGAACAGCGUCUUCCUGCACUUAACCCCAAAGGAAGUCCAACAGCUCGGCUCUCAGGAGACCCAAGGGAGAGUCGUCGAGGUGAAAAGCCCAGCGGCCUAGGCCUACGAGGAGAGGGUCCUGGUGAUGCAGUUGGAGAAGGCAGAGGUGUCUCAUCGAUGAAGGUGGUGAUCUCCUCCCGGAAAAAACCAGGACCUCGUGGGGGUCCCCCACCUGACCCCAGAACCCCACUUUCUAGAAACUGUCGAAGGCUGGCUAAGCCCCCACCUUCAGCCUCUUCCUCGUCCUCCUCAUCCUCUAUCCUGAGUCUCUGUCCCGGGUAUUCUGGAGGACCUCCAAGGGCUCUGCUCUGGGCUGGGAGGAUCCGGAUAUCAUCAGACGAUGACCACUUGUGCAGGAAGGAGCCUGGUGCCCGAGGAGUAGAAAAGACGUUGGUCUCAUCAUGGGAUAACCGGCGGGACAAAGGAACCUGGGGAGAGGAGCAGGGUACCCUGCAGUCCAAAGCCACAGAGUAGUGGUGCAGGGGACCAGAAUGGAGGACUGACUGAGGACCCCUUCCCUGGGACUCUGCUUGGCAUGGACCAAGCUGGGCAGUGUAGGCUUCCAGAGAGGAGCAGAGGCCUGGUGAAAGGCGCAGAAGGAUGCAAGGCUCGGAUGGCCAAGCACGUGAUCAGGCUAGAGGGAGGCUGGAGUAGGCUCCAGCUUAGUCCAGCA